rnacentral:rRNA from 1 species
GAUGAACGCUGGCGGCGUGCCUAAUACAUGCAAGUCGAGCGAACAGACGAGGAGCUUGCUCCUCUGACGUUAGCGGCGGACGGGUGAGUAACACGUGGAUACCCUACCUAUCAGACUGGGAUCACUUCGGGAAACCGGCGCUAAUACCGGAUAAUCUAUUGAACCGCAUGGUUCAAUAGUGAAAUUCGGUUUUGCUGUCUCUUAUAGAUGGAUCCGCGCCGCAUUAGCUAGUUGGUAAGGUAACGGCUUACCAAGGCAACGAUGCGUAGCCGAACUGAGAGGGUGAUCGGCCACACUGGAACUGUGACACGGUCCAGACUCCUACGGGAGGCACCAGGAGGGAAUCGGCCGGAAGGGGCGGAAGCCUGACGGAGCAGCGCGGCGGGAGUGAGGAGGGUCGUCGGGUCGUAAAACACGGUUAUUAGGGAAUAACAAAUGUGUAAGUGACUAGGCGCGUCUUGACGGUACCUAAGCAGAGAGCCACGGCUAACUUCGUG